rnacentral:misc_RNA from 1 species
GAUGAAGAACGCAGCGAAAUGCGAUAAGUAGUGUGAAUUGCAGACUUUAGUGAAUCAUCGAAUCUUUGAACGCACAUUGCGCCCCCUGGUAUUCCGGGGGGCAUGCCUGUUCGAGCGUCAUUUCACCACUCAAGCCUCGCUUGGUAUUGGGCAACGCGGUCCGCCGCGUGCCUCAAAUCGACCGGCUGGGUCUUCUGUCCCCUAAGCGUUGUGGAAACUAUUCGCUAAAGGGUGUUCGGGAGGCUACGCCGUAAAACAACCCCAUUUCUAAGGUUGACCUCGGAUCAGGUAGGGAUACCCGCUGAACUUAAGCAUAUCAAUAAGCGGAGGA